CUUGAUCCUCCCUUCUCAUCUUCAUCUUCAUCUCUCAUCUCCUGCUGUUGUUUUACUAAUCUCAGUUUUUCUGCUGUGCCUGCCUGUCAUCUCACUCCUUACCUCACCCUUCCUAUCCUAUAUUUAUUAUUGUCUCAUUAUCGUACCACAACACAACACAACUCAACGCUGCUGCUGCUGUAAUUGCAUACUUUUCUUCUAUUAAACCUAUAUAAAAAAGAAGAAAGAAAAGGCCUCUCUCUCUCUCUCUCCCUCCCUCUCCCUCCCUCCCUGUCAAUCUGUUUUUGUUUGUUUGACCCAUCCAUCCAUCCACGCCGCAAUCAAGAAAAAGGGCUCUCUCUCUUCAAACCAACACUCUAUAAUCUCCUCCUCCUGCUGUUGUUCUCUUUAAUAAUUUGAUGAAUGCAGUUUCUUUCCCUCAUACAUCCACAACAAAAGUCUUUUCUGGGAUUCUCACCACGAUGAGGAUGAGAAAUCUGGUGAUUGGGUUGCUCUUCCUCACUGUCUUGUCUCCCAUUCUUCUUUAUACUGAUAAAUUAUCCUCCUCCUUUACCCCUUCUUCUUCUAAACAAGAAGAUGUUAAUGCUUUUACUCUCCCUACUGAUACCAGACAUCUCAACGUGUUGCCCCAGGAGGAAUCAUCUACCGUGAUUAAAGAACCCAUUGGGAUUGUGUAUACUGAUCACAUCGACUCCUCCUCCAAUACCAUUCUGACUGAAAAAGAUUUGCAGUUGCCUGAUGCAAGAGAACAUAAAUAUGCUAGAGUACUAUCUGCCACUGAUGACGAAGGUCAUUCUCAAACCGACAAUAUCAUCAAACAGAUCAUUCAGACCACUAAUCAGGAAGAGGAGGAAUCCCAGUCAGACAACGGAAGUGAUCAGGAAAGCCAACAGAAAGCUCAAGUUCAGCUUGAACAACAGUCUGCUGUAAACUCGGGUGACGAUGAUGAGAAGGAUGCUCUGUUAACUGAAACCAAUAAACAGACAGAUCAAACAGCUAUGCCAGAUGCUCGGGUGCGGCAGCUUAGAGAUCAGCUUAUCAAGGCAAGGGUGUACCUGUCCCUUCCGGCAACAAAGAACAAUCCCCACUUUACAAGGGAGCUUCGAAUGCGGGUAAAGGAAGUUCAACGUGUACUUGUAGAUGCAACUAAAGAUUCUGAUCUGCCAAAGAAUGCCUAUGCGAAAUUGAAUGCAAUGGACCAAUUGCUGGAAAAGGGCAAGCAAAUGCAGGAUGACUGUGCUACUAUGGUAAAGAAGCUCCGGGCAAUGCUCCACUCAACAGAAGAGCAACUCCGAGUCCAUAAGAAGCAGACCAUGUUCUUGACGCAAUUAACUGCAAAGACGCUACCUAAAGGUUUGCACUGUCUUCCGUUGCGCCUGACAACGGAGUAUUAUAAUUUGAAUUCUACUGAACAGCAAUUUCCAAAUCAAGAGAAAUUGGAUGACCCUUCACUUCACCAUAUUGCACUAUUCUCGGAUAAUGUUUUGGCAGCAGCAGUGGUUGUGAACUCCACCAUUACCAAUUCUAAGCAUCCUUCGAAGCUUGUUUUCCACAUUGUUAGUGAUAGACUCAACUAUGCAGCAAUGAGGAUGUGGUUUCUAGUAAAUCCACCCGGUGUAGCCACUAUUCAGGUCCAGAACAUUGAAGAAUUCACAUGGUUAAAUUCAAGUUAUAGUCCUGUUCUGAAGCAGUUGGGUUCUCGAUCAAUGAUUGAUUAUUACUUCAGGGCAGCUCGUGCCAGUUCUGAUUCGAAUUUGAAGUACCGGAACCCAAAGUACCUGUCCAUCCUGAACCAUCUUCGCUUUUACCUGCCAGAGAUUUUCCCAAAGCUCAACAAGGUGUUGUUCUUAGAUGAUGAUAUAGUGGUGCAGAAGGAUCUUACUGGCCUUUGGUCCCUUGAUUUGAAGGGUAAUGUGAAUGGUGCUGUAGAGACCUGUGGAGAAAACUUCCAUCGUUUUGAUCGAUAUCUCAACUUCUCAAAUCCUCAUAUCUCAAAGAAUUUUGAUCCCCGUGCUUGUGGAUGGGCAUAUGGAAUGAACAUCUUUGAUUUGAAGGAAUGGAAGAGGCAAAACAUCACUGAUGUAUAUCAUACAUGGCAGAAGCUGAAUCAUGACAGACAAUUAUGGAAGUUGGGGACUCUGCCACCUGGCCUCAUUACUUUUUGGAAACGGACUCACCCCCUCGACCGACGUUGGCAUGUUCUGGGCCUUGGCUAUAAUCCCAAUGUGAGCCAAAGAGAAAUUGAACGAGCAGCUGUUAUACAUUACAAUGGCAACAUGAAACCAUGGCUUGAAAUAGGCAUACCCAAGUAUCGAAGCAACUGGGCAAAAUAUGUUGAUUAUGAUCAUGCAUAUUUGCGAGAGUGCAAUAUCAAUCCAUAAAAUAUAAUCCUCGUGGUGUCUUCCAUUCAUUAGAGCUCCAUGCAAAUGCUGUGCCAACAUUUUACAGGUCCACAUCACUUUGUUGGCUCUUCCACAUCCUGUGCCAACAUUUUUACAGGCUCUGCUUGAACAUCAGUCAUUUUUCACCCACCGACACUUGUUUUCGUGCGUGUACUGCGUGUGUUAGAAUACUGGACCCAGCUGGGAGUGGAGGGUUUGAGGCAGAAAAAGAAAAGGGUGUGACUAGUGAGAGCUGGGCUGGUUCAAGCUGUGAUGUGAUAGUGGGGGGAGUGAGUUGGCUAAUUGAAUCAAUUCCGUUCAUGCAAUGACUUCAUAGUGGCCCACAAGGCAGGGGCAUGGGGCUGGGACAGCCUGUUUUUCAUUAGUCGUAGCAGUUACAGUUGGGGUUCACGUUAAGAUAUCCUCCUCCUCCUUCCUCACGUGGUGGGACUCUACUCGUUUCUCCGUGUCUGUCUGCCCUGGUUGUUGCUUUCUCUAUUUCGGUUCUUAUUACACGGGUCCCACAGCAUAGAUGAGUCCGUGAAGGACGGGACAGGUAUUGCCCGAACAAGAUGCGCGGGGCUGCCUUCGAGAUCCAAGUUGCGUUGGCUUGGCUUUCUAAGAUCCGUUCAUGAAUUAUUGACUGUUGAUGAUGAAGAGCUCCUAUAGAUAGUUCUGGAUUUCAAAGAGACAGUUCCCCUCCCUCCAUGGAUUUAACAGCCGAGCCUGACGUUAACUGUUGAUGAUGAAGAACUCUAUAGUUCUGGAGAUGAGUCAAGGUUGGGGACAACAGAUGCUUCUUGCAAGACAAAAAAGUAUUCAUGAAUUAUUAACUCCAUAUAUGUGUGAGUGAGAUUACUACUCAGAACUUGCGGGUGGAAUAAGGAACUCGCCUCGCCCGGUAAAUUGAUAAUAAUUUCAGACGACCUUCAUUUAAAAAAAAAAUAAUAAUAAAUUCAAUAGGAUU